rnacentral:rRNA from 1 species
UACAGAGGUCUCAAGCGUUGUUCGGAUUCAUUGGGCGUAAAGGGUGCGUAGGCGGCGCGGUAAGUCGGGUGUGAAAUUUCGGAGCUUAACUCCGAAACUGCAUUCGAUACUGCCGUGCUUGAGGACUGGAGAGGAGACUGGAAUUUACGGUGUAGCAGUGAAAAUGCGUAGAGAUCGUAAGGAAGACCGUGGCGAAGGCGGGUCUCGUGGACAGUUCCUGACGCUGAGGCGCGAAAGCGUGGGGAGCAAACAGG